GUCGAGCGGCAGCGGGAAAGUAGCUUGCUACUUUUGCCGGCGAGCGGCGGACCGUUGAGUAAUGCCUGGGAAAUUGCCCAGUCGAGGGGGAUAACACUUGGAAACGACUGCUAAUACCGCAUACGCCCUACGGGGGAAAGCAGGGGACCUUCGGGCCUUGCGCGAUUGGAUAUGCCCAGGUGGGAUUAGCUAGUUGGUGAGGUAAUGGCUCACCAAGGCGACGAUCCCUAGCUGGUCUGAGAGGAUGAUCAGCCACACUGGAACUGAGACACGGUCCAGACUCCUACGGGAGGCAGCAGUGGGGAAUAUUGCACAAUGGGGGAAACCCUGAUGCAGCCAUGCCGCGUGUGUGAAGAAGGUCUUCGGAUUGUAAAGCACUUUAAGUUGGGAGGAAGGGCAUUAACCUAAUACGUUAGUGUUUUGACGUUACCGACAGAAUAAGCACCGGCUAACUCUGUGCCAGCAGCCGCGGUAAUACAGAGGGUGCAAGCGUUAAUCGGAAUUACUGGGCGUAAAGCGCGCGUAGGUGGUUUGUUAAGUUGAAUGUGAAAGCCCCGGGCUCAACCUGGGAACUGCAUCCAAAACUGGCAAGCUAGAGUACGGUAGAGGGUGGUGGAAUUUCCUGUGUAGCGGUGAAAUGCGUAGAUAUAGGAAGGAACACCAGUGGCGAAAGCGACCACCUGGACUGAUACUGACACUGAGGUGCGAAAGCGUGGGGAGCAAACAGGGUUAAAUACCCUGGUAGUCCACGCCGCAAACGAUGUCAACUAACCGGUGGGAAUCUUGAGAUUUUAAUGGGGCGGGUAACGCAUUAAGUUGACCCCCCGGGGAGAACCGGGCCCAAGGUUAAACAA
rnacentral:rRNA from 1 species